rnacentral:ncRNA from 2 species
ACCUUUGCAAUUGGAAAUGGUUUCGGAGGGAGUAGAUCUCCCCUGAAUGAAAAGGGAAUCCGGUGAGAAUCCGGAACAGUACCCGCUGCUGUAAGUCCCCCAAAAAGUCAUCGAACAUAUGCCACUGGUGUGAUACUGGGAAGGCACGAUGACCGGGAUAAGUCAGAAGACCUGCCAUGUCCGAAAUGAGAUU